GAUUGUUGAUUCUGUUAAACUGCACAAAAUACAAACCACAGAAAUACAAGCUUUUGAAUGUGCAAAUGUUUAAAACAUGUUUAUUUAGAGUAGCCAAGUAGGGGUGGCUAAUUCUUUACAGUUCAUCAGAGUCGUACACUUUUGUAUUUCAUUUCGUGAUCAUUAUUCUAUCAUCGCCUAAAGAAAUUUUCCAUUUUAAAGAAACUCCACGAGCCCAAUGCUCCAGUUAGCUCCGGAGACAAAACAGUUCCCGUCUGAGUAACAUCUUUACGAAGUAGAAAGUAAGAUAAACCCAGCAACCUGGUCAUCAUUCAAAGCUUGGCAAAUCAAGAUGAAACUGCUAUUUUCCAGUUUGCUGAGCUCAAAAGUUUCUGAAGAUUCACACCCUCCCACUCAAGCUCUCCCUGAGGAGCAGUCAGAAUCGCAACUGGAGAGACCAUCUCUGAAUGCACGAGUCAGUGAUGGACCCGGGCG